rnacentral:rRNA from 1 species
AGACCCGAAACCCGGUGAUCUAGCCAUGGGCAGGUUGAAGGUUGGGUAACACUAACUGGAGGACCGAACCGACUAAUGUUGAAAAAUUAGCGGAUGACCUGUGGCUGGGGGUGAAAGGCCAAUCAAACCGGGAGAUAGCUGGUUCUCCCCGAAAGCUAUUUAGGUAGCGCCUCGUGAAUUCAUCUCCGGGGGUAGAGCACUGUUUCGGCUAGGGGGCCAUCCCGGCUUACCAACCCGAUGCAAACUGCGAAUACCGGAGAAUGUUAUCACGGGAGACACACGGCGGGUGCUAACGUCCGUCGUGAAGAGGGAAACAACCCAGACCGCCAGCUAAGGUCCCAAAGUCAUGGUUAAGUGGGAAACGAUGUGGGAAGGCCCAGACAGCCAGGAUGUUGGCUUAGAAGCAGCCAUCAUUUAAAGAAAGCGUAAUAGCUCACUGGUCGAGUCGGCCUGCGCGGAAGAUGUAACGGGGCUAAACCAUGCACCGAAGCUGCGGCAGCGAACGUAUCACUUAAAGCGAUUCAGCGGGUUACGAUUGACGGAGCGAAGCGACGUCAAAGCGUAUACAAAGUCGAGUCGGUUUAAGGAUACGUUCGUUGGGUAGGGGAGCGUUCUGUAAGCCUGUGAAGGUGUGUCGUGAGGCAUGCUGGAGGUAUCAGAAGUGCGAAUGCUGACAUAAGUAACGAUAAAGCGGGUGAAAAGCCCGCUCGCCGGAAGACCAAGGGUUCCUGUCCAACGUUAAUCGGGGCAGGGUGAGUCGACCCCUAAGGCGAGGCCGAAAGGCGUAGUCGAUGGGAAACGGGUUAAUAUUCCCGUACUUGGUGUUACUGCGAAGGGGGGACGGAGAAGGCUAUGUUGGCCGGGCGACGGUUGUCCCGGUUUAAGCGUGUAGGUGUGUGUUCCAGGUAAAUCCGGUUCACUUUAACACUGAGGCGUGAUGACGAGGCACUACGGUGCUGAAGCAACAAAUGCCCUGCUUCCAGGAAAAGCCUCUAAGCAUCAGGUAACAUCAAAUCGUACCCCAAACCGACACAGGUGGUCAGGUAGAGAAUACCAAGGCGCUUGAGAGAACUCGGGUGAAGGAACUAGGCAAAAUGGUGCCGUAACUUCGGGAGAAGGCACGCUGACAC